UGGGGAAUAUUGCACAAUGGGCGCAAGCCUGAUGCAGCCAUGCCGCGUGUGUGAAGAAGGCCUUCGGGUUGUAAAGCACUUUCAGCGAGGAGGAAGGUGGUGAGCUUAAUACGCUCAUCAAUUGACGUUACUCGCAGAAGAAGCACCGGCUAACUCCGUGCCAGCAGCCGCGGUAAUACGGAGGGUGCAAGCGUUAAUCGGAAUUACUGGGCGUAAAGCGCACGCAGGCGGUUUGUUAAGUCAGAUGUGAAAUCCCCGGGCUCAACCUGGGAACUGCAUUUGAAACUGGCAAGCUAGAGUCUCGUAGAGGGGGGUAGAAUUCCAGGUGUAGCGGUGAAAUGCGUAGAGAUCUGGAGGAAUACCGGUGGCGAAGGCGGCCCCCUGGACGAAGACUGACGCUCAGGUGCGAAAGCGUGGGGCAGCAAACAGGAUUAGAUACCCUGGUAGUCCAGCGCUGUAAACGAUGUCGAUUUUGGAGGUUGUGCCCUUGAGGCGUGGCUUCCGGAGCUAACGCGUUAAAUCGACCGCCUGGGGAGUACGGCC
rnacentral:rRNA from 1 species